CUCUUUCUUCAUGUUCCUUGCUUUCUAGAAUUUCAUUUCAACCCUAACCCAAAAUAACGUCGCCGUCAAUCAUAACCAACAAUCUCCAUCUCAUUUGUGUCUUGUUCAUGGAGGCCAUCCCACGACCAUUCUCCAUUUUUCAGUGUUGUGUUUGAUAAAAGGACUGAAAUAUUUGAAGGAAUGCAAUAUUUGAAGCUACCUCCGUAUUUGAUAUUCACAUUGCUUAACUCAUUCAAGCUGAAAAUGAUGCAGUUGACCAAGAUCUUCCAAAUUGCUGUGUGUUUACUUUAUAUUGGUAUGCCUUUACAUGUGUAGAAUUGACGAUUUUGUUUUGAUUAAGCAUUGUCUUUCUCUUCAUGAUAGUCAUAUGGCAGUGGUAGUUUAUUGUUUCUCAUUUCUUGAAGAGCUUGGCAUCAUCUUUUCAUUGAAUUCUCAAGCAUCAGGUUUUGGUUUAACAAAGCUAUGUUUCAUGGGAUUAUUAAAGAUAAUGGU